rnacentral:lncRNA from 1 species
GGACGCGCAGCGCUCGGCCGGUGCGUUUGCGGGCCUUGCUGGACCUCUGCGCAGGGACUGAGGGCGGAGGGCGUCCGCGGGCCCCCGGAGCUGAGCGGCCCCCGCGACCCUAUGUCCGAGCCGUCCUGCUCGCACGCACGUCCUCGUCCUGGUGUGGGCCUCUCGUUAUUAGUGACAGCGCCAGGUGCAAGCAUCGGAGCGCCCAGGACCCUGCUUCAGACGUUCUGAGCUUUGAUGAAACAGGGCAUGGGCGGCCACGGCCCCAGGGAUGCUCAGAGAGAUGUUAGGAGGCUCCAAUGAGGUGACAGAACCGGCAGAUAAAUUAGAGCCCUCCGUGAGGGAAAGGAGAUACAUACGAUGUUGGAGCAGCAGCAGCCAGCUUGUGACAACGAGGCACAACUGGGGUCUACACAUUGAGUACGAAAGAGGCUGGGAACCUGAUGGCACAUGA